CAACAGGGAUUGCCCUAGUAACGGCGAGUGAAGCGGCAAAAGCUCAGAUUUGAAAUCUGUCGCCAUUUUGGCGGCCGAGUUGUAGUCUGUAGAGGUGUAUUCGAGUGUGGCUUUGGCUUAAGUUCCUUGGAACAGGGCGUCAUAGAGGGUGAGAACCCCGUUAACGGCCUUUGUCUUAUGCUCAUGUGAAUCUCCUUCAACGAGUCGAGUUGUUUGGGAAUGCAGCUCUAAAUGGGUGGUAAAUUCCAUCUAAAGCUAAAUACUGGCAAGAGACCGAUAGCGCACAAGUAGAGUGAUCGAAAGAUGAAAAGAACUCUGAACAGAGAGUUAAAUAGUACGUGAAAUUGUUGAAAGGGAAGCACUUCCGACCAGACGCACUUGCAGCCGAUCAAUCUUCAUUCUUGAGGGUGCACUCGGUUGUCUGUGGGUCAGCAUCAGUUAUGGCGGUGGGAAAAAGACUAAGGGAAUGUGGCUCCUUUCGGGGAGUGUUAUAGCCUUUGGUGCAAUGCUGCCUGCUGUGACUGAGGACCGCGCUUCGGUGAGGAUGCUGGCAUAAU
rnacentral:rRNA from 2 species